rnacentral:rRNA from 1 species
UACGGAAGGCAGCAGUGGGGAAUAUUGCACAAUGGGCGCAAGCCUGAUGCAGCCAUGCCGCGUGUAUGAAGAAGGCCUUCGGGUUGUAAAGUACUUUCAGUCGUGAGGAAGGUGUUAAGGUUAAUAACCUUAGCAAUUGACGUUAGCGACAGAAGAAGCACCGGCUAACUCCGUGCCAGCAGCCGCGGUAAUACGGAGGGUGCGAGCGUUAAUCGGAAUUACUGGGCGUAAAGGGCACGCAGGCGGUUAAUUAAGUUGGAUGUGAAAUCCCCGGGCUUAACCUGGGAAUGGCAUUCAAGCUGGUUAGCUAGAGUCUUGUAGAGGGAGGUAGAAUUCCAUGUGUAGCGGUGAAAUGCGUAGAGAUGUGGAGGAAUACCGGUGGCGAAGGCGGCCCCUGGACAAAGGCUGACGCUCAUGUGCGAAAGCGUGGGGAGCGAAACAGGGAUUAGAUACC